AAGAAGAGGAGGGAGGAGGAGAAGACCAAAUGGUGGACAAAUGAAAAAGAAGACUAGAAAAUGACUAUGGGGAAAUUUGACAAUAUCCACAAGUAGUGUUCUUCAUAUUUGACUUUGCGAAAAAAGUUAUUUCACAUCUCUUUUGGACCACAUGCAAGUAGGUGAUUAUUGGAGAUGUGAUAAACUGUCAAAUAAUACGACCGUUAGAAUUGUCUAUAGAAAUUAGUUGGUUA